GAUGAACGCUGGCGGCGUGCCUAACACAUGCAAGUCGAACGGAGUCCAGCCUUUAAGACCUUCGGGUCAAAGAGGGGAAGACUGAGUGGCGGACGGGUGAGUAACACGUGGGCAACCUGGCUCAUAGAGGGGGAUAACAGAGAGAAAUUUCUGCUAAUACCGAAUAAGCACACACUGCCGCAUGGCAGAGGGUGAAAAGAGAAUCGCUAUGAGAUGGACCCGCGUCUGAUUAGCCAGUUGGCAGGGUAAGAGCCUACCAAAGCGACGAUCAGUAGCCGAUCUGAGAGGAUGAACGGCCACAUUGGGACUGAGACACGGCCCAAACUCCUACGGGAGGCAGCAGUGGGGGAUAUUGCACAAUGGGGGGAACCCUGAUGCAGCGACGCCGCGUGAGUGAAGAAGUAUUUCGGUAUGUAAAGCUCUAUCAGCAGGGAAGAUAAUGACAGUACCUGAAUAAGAAGCCCCGGCUAACUACGUG
rnacentral:rRNA from 1 species